CCCCAGGUGGUUAGUCUUACUUAGGGUGAUAUUUACUACAGAGAGAGUGGAGGAUAACCAAGAAGACCACUUGGAGUUUGUAAUGACAAAAUACAACUUGAUCCUAGACAACAGGUCCAGCUGAAACUUCAGAAAGAAUACUUAUUCCUGUGCAUAGAUUCUCCAGAUGAAUCAAGACUGACAUCCACGGCAAAUAACAAUUUCCGGUCUAAAAAUGGGGAAAAAAGAGAGAUUGCUCCAAGGAAAAUUUCCAACAACUGACAGUGACAAGUCGACUGGAAGAUUUGAAAGAGUAAGCGUGACUUCCUCUGAUGAUACAUUGAAAAAUCACCUAGUACAUCACAGCUGAAGAGAAGAGUACGCCAUGCAGUUUUUAAGCUUCUUUUUUUAACGCUACCAUUGCUGAACUGAAAAAUCACUGUACAGUUUUAUUAUGUUACGAUAAUAUUAGUAGGCUAAUUUAAUUGAAACUGUCACCUUAGUCACUUCAUUUUACCUUCAUUUUAAUUAUUUGCCCUAGCAUGGUAUUACUGUAGUUGAAAGAGUGAAAGAAUGUAAAAUUUCUAUAAGCAUUCAUUCCAAAUCAAGACCUGUAUUGAUCUGAUAAUAGUCACAAGCUUUUUUUUCUGUUCCAUGUGUACUUGAAUUAAUAAGUUUUACUUGUGCUCACUAGAGCACUUUUUAUGCUUGAAUACUCAAAUAUUCAUUGGAAGUGAAUUUUGAAGUAUACUUUCCCCAUUUCUAGCUGCAAUUUGUUUUUUAUUGAUUAGUUACAUAAAGAAUGAGUAAAAACUGAGUAAGGGCUUCAAGGUGUCAACCAUAUUAGAUGGCAGCACUGAAAUAGAAUAUUACAUUCCUGUAUUAUGUUGAUGUUUCCAUUCUGAAACACUGGUAUUUCAGAAUACCAAAAUAGCUGAAAUACAGUUUUAUGUUUGCUUUUACUACUGUAAGUCAAUAACAUAAUGAGGUGCUUUUUAUAGAACGUUAUGAAUAAAAACUUCUAGUAGUGACAGGAAACCAGAAAGGAUGAAUUAAACUAAGGAUGACUGAAGAUCAGAGUGGGUGAUCUUCCUGCAGUAUAUUUCUUGUAGCUCGUUAUAGCAUCACGUGAGAGAAGAUUAUGGAGAAGACAUCUCAGUUUUAACUGCCUAUUUUAAGAGGGAAUAACUAGACCAUCAACUUGAUUCCAGACUAAUGUAUUAUAUACAAAUACUUGCCUCAGAUAUUAUGUUAAUAUUCUUGCAAGUUCACUGAAUACCACUUUAACAACUAUCAAUAUAAUUACUCUUUGUAAGAAUUGGAACAAGUGGGUUUGAUCCAUUAUAGUUUAAGAUCCAUGUAACUUGUAAAAAUCAGAGUAAAAAAACCCAAACAAACCUCUGCCUGCACUUUUAAAAAUGCACAUAUAUUUGACUGUUUACAUUGAUGUGGGAAACUAUAGCAAUAGUAAUUGAGAUUUUAUGGAUGCAAAUAAAUAUGUAAAUGCCAUAGGAUCUACCACA